ACGUAAACAAACAUGUUUUUAAAUAAAUCAAAGUAUAAUUUUAAUUAACAUUUAUGCGUCAAUGAAAAUACAUGUACAAAUACAAAUAAAUCUUUGAUAAUUUAACUAAUGUAUAAAUCACUAAAAAAAACACGUCUUUGUGUCACUCUUCUCUCACUUGUUCUCUCUAUCCUAGACGUUCACAGAUCUAUUAUAACCUCAACUACGUUAGACCUCAUAGUGAUUUCAUCAGAGUCUAUUCAGCCAACCUAAUCAUCUGCUCAUACAUUUUAACAGCCUUCCCAAUAACUAACUAAAGCAAUGUAGUCCUUGACAUUGUUUAUAAUGACCUUCAAAAUCUUUCCUUUCUCCUUUAAUUAUGUUUUAAAGUCUCCAUUAUACUGACACCACAUUUCUUCUUAUUUCUUUUUUUCCU